GACGAACGCUGGCGGCGUGCUUAACACAUGCAAGUCGAACGGAAAGGCCCUGCUUUUGUGGGGUGCUCGAGUGGCGAACGGGUGAGUAACACGUGAGUAACCUGCCCUUGACUUUGGGAUAACUUCAGGAAACUGGGGCUAAUACCGGCUAGGAGCUCCUGCUGCAUGGGGGGGGUUGGAAAGUUUCGGCGGUUGGGGAUGGACUCGCGGCUUAUCAGCUUGUUGGUGGGGUAGUGGCUUACCAAGGCUUUGACGGGUAGCCGGCCUGGGAGGGUGACCGGCCACAUUGGGCCUGAGAUACGGCCCAGACUCCUACGGGAGGCAGCAGUGGGGAAUAUUGCACAAUGGGCGGAAGCCUGAUGCAGCAACGCCGCGUGCGGGAUGACGGCCUUCGGGUUGUAAACCGCUUUCGCCUGUGACGAAGCGUGAGUGACGGUAAUGGGUAAAGAAGCACCGGCUAACUACGUG
rnacentral:rRNA from 1 species